GAGCGAAGUUCCCAGCAGAGGGGUGAAAAUGCUCUGGAAUUGAGGCCCCUCUAACAAUAAUCCAAAACUACUUCGCAGAGUAAUCUGCCGAAUCGUAGGAUGCCCAUUACUAUCUAUUUUUGGAGCAUCUGGAACCCUCGGCUAAAUUUAU
rnacentral:snoRNA from 1 species